rnacentral:rRNA from 1 species
UACGAAGGGGGCUAGCGUUGUUCGGAAUCACUGGGCGUAAAGGGCGCGUAGGCGGCUUUGUAAGUCGGGGGUGAAAGCCUGUGGCUCAACCACAGAAUUGCCUUCGAUACUGCAUGGCUUGAGACCGGAAGAGGUAAGUGGAACUGCGAGUGUAGAGGUGAAAUUCGUAGAUAUUCGCAAGAACACCAGUGGCGAAGGCGGCUCACUGGCCCGAUACUGACGCUGAGGCACGGAAAGCGUGGGGAGCCAAACAGG